AAGAGGAGCUUGCUCCUCUGGAUCAGUGGCGAACGGGUGAGUAACACGUGAGUAACCUGCCCCAGACUCUGGGAUAAGCACUGGAAACGGUGUCUAAUACCGGAUACGAGCUUCAGCCGCAUGGCUAGGAGCUGGAAAGAAUUUCGGUCUGGGAUGGACUCGCGGCCUAUCAGCUAGUUGGUGAGGUAACGGCCCACCAAGGCGACGACGGGUAGCCGGCCUGAGAGGGUGACCGGCCACACUGGGACUGAGACACGGCCCAGACUCCUACGGGAGGCAGCAGUGGGGAAUAUUGCACAAUGGGCGCAAGCCUGAUGCAGCAACGCCGCGUGAGGGACGACGGCCUUCGGGUUGUAGACCUCUUUUAGUAGGGAAGAAGCGAAAGUGACGGUACCUGCAGAAAAAGCACCGGCUAACUACGUGCCAGCAGCCGCGGUAAU
rnacentral:rRNA from 1 species